CGCGUCCGGAGCCUGUGCUCUGCAGCGGAAGAGGCCACAACAGUGAGAGGCCUGCGUACCGCAAAAAAAAAAAAAAAAAAAAUUAUUGUCCAACAUAUGGAAAACAAUCAUUGUCAUUGCCAUUGUUGUUAUCCUGGGUGGAUGACCAUUAACUCUCUCUGCUCUAGCCUCACAGCCCUGCCAGAAUGUUCUUCCUGCAGCACUGCUACCUUCUUUUCUCACACUAGCCCACACUUGACAAAACCUCUGGCACUUUUUCACUCAUCAAGUGAUCUGCCACUCCCCCCUUGGGGGAAGUUUCAUUUCUGUGGCAGGAUAAAUCACCAGGCUUUCACUCAGAAGGCAGAAAUGAUCAGGAAACCCCAGGUCACAACAUGAAACAGAUCUGGUUUUUCAAGAUCCUCAUUAACUUAAAAAACUUAAAAAAAAUGUUAACCUAGGUGGAAAGUUGAGUUAACUUUAUCCCUCUGUUUGAAGCACAUUCUCAUUAGUCUCCACAUAAGUCUGUUCCCUUGUUUUAUAUUUUACUUAUUCUCUUGUUCACUUUCCUCACUCCCAUCUUCCCCCACCCCAGCAUUCUAUGUUUAAGGUGACUCUCUGUUUCGGGCUUUGUGAAAAGGCGGUGUGGCAGUGGUGAAUGCACGUGUCUUUAAGUUACACAUGUGUUGUGUGUGAUGUUCCCCCUACAGUCUUAAGGUCCACGUGGCUGUGAGGACUUCUAGGCUUCUCUUCUCCCUGCUGCCUAGUACCCCAGAGCACCCAUCCUUACAUCUGACUCUCCUGGUCCCCAGGUGACAGACACCCAAGUUGCUCCCAAACAUCCUCUACAACAAACCAGGAAAAAGAGAGGUUCUCGGAAGAUGGUCUUGGGAAAUCUUGCUACUACGUGGAUGAAAAUAAAAUUGGAUCCCCACCUACCACUAGAUGGUUGAGGAAAAAACAGAAGAAGAAUAUUUUGCGACACUUGAACAACCUAUGAAAUGUCAGUGUCCAUAAAUAAAGUUCUGUUGGAACCCA